CGGCGUGCUCAUGCCAUGUGCCUGUCAGUUCUGCAAGCAUCUGUUGGAUGUGAAGGUUGAUGGGAUGACCACACUGCCCACAACAGGCAAAAGGGUGCAGACAGCUGAGGCUCCUCACUUCCCGCUCCAAAGCUCAGAACCUCCCUUCCCUCCUGGAUCCAACAGAAGCAGCGGCCGCUGCUGUCUGUGCCUCUCAAACUUGUCACCCACGGAUGCUGGGAAAAAUGCACAUAAAAGGGUCCUGUCUUUGUGAUAUCAGCGUGAAGUGGAAUCCACAGAAUGGCUAAAGUGGAGGGAAGGCUGAAAAUGCAUUGGAUGAUGAUAGCAGUGUCAUUUACAAUCACCACGACUUGGAAGCAGCCGAGAUGUCCUUUGGCAGGUGAUUGGAGAAAUGAACUGUGGCACGUCCAUGCAGACCAUGGAAUACUAUUCAGUGCUAAAAAUGAGUGAGCUUUCCAUCCAUGAAAAGACAUAGAGGAACCUGAAAUGCAGAUCACAAAGUGAAAGGCCAAUCUGGAAAGGCUACACACCCUAUGACUCCAACCCUGUGACAUUCCCAAA
rnacentral:lncRNA from 1 species